GACGAAGGGGGCUAGCGUUGUUCGGAAUUACUGGGCGUAAAGCGCGUGUAGGCGGUUGUCCAAGUUGGAUGUGAAAGCCUUGAGCUCAACUCAAGAAAUGCAUUCAGGACUGGAUGACUAGAGGACCGGAGAGGAUAGUGGAAUUCCCAGUGUAGUGGUGAAAUACGUAGAGAUCGGCAGGAACACCCAGGGGGAAACCAGUCGACUGGGCAGCACCUGACGCUGAGGUGCGAGAGCGUGGGGAGCGAACCGG
rnacentral:rRNA from 1 species